UCUAUUAAGUUUGCAGAUUGUUUGUGUUGGCCAACGAAAAAAGAUUUAGGACCCUAGAUUUAUACAGUUUAAGAACUUACAAAGUUUAGCAAGUAUCUGGUUCUGAACUUUCGAAGAGUGCUUAUAACAGUAAUUUCUUCAGUAUUUUGUAAUUCCGAUUUAAUAGCGAUUCUGUUGUAGUAGCAUCCUUGUAGUUCACCAUUGGAAUGUGUACUGUUUCUUGAUUCUUGAAUUCUGAGCUGAAUGUGCACAUUUAGCGACCACUGCGUACGUACGUGCUCUAACGGAAAGUACGUAGCUGACACAGACCGUAGCCAUCUACACCAAGGCUCCUCUGCCCUACCGAGUCUUGCAAGCGAUCGUCGUAAGAAAUAUUCCGUGUGAUGCCGGCAUGUGUUGUUGUUGCACUGUCGCAACCAUCCAUCUACACACCAAAUGUCAAAACCGAGUCGCGGUGUUCACAAUGCUGGGCAUUAUUUAUAUCGAAGGACGAGGAGGAAGAUUUGGAUGACCGUAACCACAAUGGCAAGGGCAGCAACAUGGUCGUCACCUGCAAUGCCGAUGGGUGCUGACAUUAUGAUGUUUGGUUUAUUUGUUGAAAGUUACAGCCCAUGUUUCAUGAUUUAUUUGCCACCGGUUAAUCAUGAUAUUUUGAAGUGCUCUGACAAUUGCUUGCUGUCUGCAUCUCUUACUUUUCAACUUGCUGCAUAUACAGAUAUACACCAUUAGAAUCUGUUUGUACAAUAUAUUUACUUAUUCAACAUGCUUCAGUUAUGCUUCUUUGAAAAUCCAGUUGUAGAUUGCAGUGAAGCCCCAUUUAGAUCUUGGCUAUAGUAUUAUUCUUGUCUUAUGACUCGUGACAGAUUGAUAUGUGAUACCAUGACAUAGCAUAUGUGGUACCGUGGUAGUCACAUUUGGUGGUAGUUCUGAUUGUUUGCUAGAUUACGAGAUAAGACCAAGUGCUUCUGCAACUCGGUUGCGGUUUUGAUAGGAACAUGAAGACUUGUGCCAUGCCAUGGAGCAUGUUUGAUUAAAAGGACAUAGUUGCUCCAAUAUAUUGAGCAGGGAAGAAGUUUGUUACAAGUGUUUUAUAGAGUUGACGCCAGAGACAUCCGACGGGAUACAUUGGUGAAGGAAUCGAUGAAGAAGCUUCCGUUCAGCAUGGUAUCUCAAUGGAAGAAUAUCCGAAGCAAACCUCCGCUACUUCUCUGUUCCCUUUCAUUUGUCGUGGGAAGACCUUAGGAAGGUAGGAAGACCUUAGGAAGAGCGGGUGGGAGGAAGAGAGGCCUGUGCUAUAGAUGUAGGCGAACAAUGGUCCUUGGAAAUUAUUAGUACUCUACAAAAUGUCUGUCCCCUAUGAUGCCUACAAUGAGCGAGAGAGGGUGGAAGGAAGGGAGAGCGGAGGAAGGAAGAUGGGGAUAUAUGUAGAGAGGGAGAUAGGAGGAAGGGAGAUGGGCAUAUAUGUAGAGAGAGGAAGAUCAGAGAGGGAGGGGAGAUUUACAGGACGAUUGUCGUUGAGCCACUCAAAUAUUUUCGUGUUUCAAUGACGCGUGGAGGACGACGGUCACGAGCGCAUUGUCGCAAGCUCACAGGAGGGAGGCACACAUCUCAUCCAAUAUAAAAGCACGCUCCGAAGAAUCCCUAACCCUCCAUGGAGCCAUUGCUAGGG